rnacentral:lncRNA from 10 species
UGUUGUUGGGGGCUUUGACGUACUGACAGCCAUGGAGAAUGUGGAGAGUGACCCCAAAACUGACCGCCCUAAGGAGGAGAUCCGCAUCGAUGCCACUACAGUGUUCGUGGACCCCUAUGAGGAGGCUGAUGCCCAGAUCGCCCAGGAGCGGAAGACACAGCUCGAGGCAGCCCCGGAGACCAAAGUGAAGAGCAGCCAGCCCGAGGCAGGGAGCCAGGGCCCCCAGACCUUCCGCCAGGGCGUGGGCAAGUACAUCAACCCAGCAGCCACGAAGCGAGCGGCAGAGGAAGAGCCCUCAACCAGCGCCACUGUCCCCAUGUCCAAGAAGAAGCCCAGUCGGGGUUUUGGGGACUUCAGCUCCUGGUAGCAGCAGGGACAGCCUAUUUAUACAACCAGUGUGGUCCCCUGACCAACGCCAUCACCUGGGACAAGUUUUCAGACCCCAGACCUACUGAGCCUGAGCCUCUGCAG